AGGGAUCCAGCUUUUGUCAAAUUAACGUUAUUUAAAAAGAUAUUUUGUAGCUAACCCUAGUCAUGACUAUUUUCCUAACCUUAGCUUAAUUAUACUAACCUGCUGCGUAAAUCCUCCUAACCUGCUAAGAAAAGUCAAAUUUGAUGUUAAUUUUACAAAAGCUGGAUCCCUUCUAACCAUGACCCCCUUUUUUUUGCUGCGGAGUCCAGACGCGUCGAGUCCCCAACAACCGGGUGUAAAGGUUUUCAGGAGAAAUGUUAAGAGAGCCUGUGACACUACUUCUGCUUUUGGACUUUAAUUAAGAAGUGAGCAUUUCUCCUUUGCCAAGAUCAUCCAUCCACCUGACAAGAGUGGCAUAUUAAGAAGCUGAACAGCAUGAUCAUUACACAGGUACACCUUGUGCUGGGACAAUCAACCACCACUCAAAUGUGCAGUUUUGUCACACAACACAAUGCCACAGAUGUUUUAAGUUUGAGGGAGUGUGCAAUUGACAUUCUGACUGCAGGAAUGUCCACCAGAGCUGUUGCCAGAGAAUUGAAUGCUCAUUUCUCUACCAUAAGCUGCCUCCAAUGUCAUUUUUGAGAAUUUGGCAGUAUGCCCAACCAGCCUCACAACUGCCGACCAUGUGUAACCACACCAGCUCAGGAUCUCCACAUCCAGCUUCUUCACCUGCGGGAUCAUCUGAAACCAGCCACCCGGACAACUGAUGAAACUGAGGAGUAUUUCUGUCAGUAAUAAAGCCCUUUUAUGGGGAAAAACUAAUUCUGAUUGGCUGGGCCUGGCUCUCCAGUGGGUGGGCCUGGCUCCCAAUUGGAGGGGCCUAUGCCCAGUCAUGUGAAAUCCAUAGAUUAAGGCCUAAAAAAUGUAUUUCAAUUAACUGAUUUCCUUAUAUGAACUGUAACUCAGUAAAAUCAUUGAAAUUG